rnacentral:rRNA from 1 species
GACGAACGCUGGCGGCGUGCCUAAUACAUGCAAGUAGAACGCACAGUUUAUACCGUAGCUUGCUACACCAUAGACUGUGAGUUGCGAACGGGUGAGUAACGCGUAGGUAACCUGCCUGGUAGCGGGGGAUAACUAUUGGAAACGAUAGCUAAUACCGCAUAAUAUUAAUUAUUGCAUGAUAAUUGAUUGAAAGGUGCAAUUGCACCACUACCAGAUGGACCUGCGUUGUAUUAGCUAGUAGGUGAGGUAACGGCUCACCUAGGCGACGAUACAUAGCCGACCUGAGAGGGUGAUCGGCCACACUGGGACUGAGACACGGCCCAGACUCCUACGGGAGGCAGCAGUAGGGAAUCUUCGGCAAUGGACGAAAGUCUGACCGAGCAACGCCGCGUGAGUGAAGAAGGUUUUCGGAUCGUAAAGCUCUGUUGUAAGAGAAGAACGGGUGUGAGAGUGGAAAGUCACACUGUGACGUAUCUACC